rnacentral:lncRNA from 1 species
UAUUGAUAAGUCCAUAUUGUUGGAACUUAAACCCUAUAAUAUUUUGUACAUAAAUUUAUUAUAUAGUGUAAAUAUAUCCAUUAAAUUAUAUUUUAAUUUUAAAUUAAGAAAAUAGAUUUGGUGCAUGUUAUAUUUGUGUAGACUGGGUGCAUGCAAAGUUUUAAAAGAGAGAGGAGAGCUUAAGGACGACACAUGUCACCUCUUAACCACCUUGAGGUGACAGAACUCUCCUUUAAUGGAGUAACUAGUGUAGUGACCCACACGAUGCAGCGGGAAAAAAAUAUUUUAAUAAAAAUUUACCAAUUAAAUAAAUAAAUAUAAAUGUAAAGAAGAAAAAAAAUAUAACGAUAUUUGAUUAGACUUAAUAAUAUGAAAAA